rnacentral:rRNA from 1 species
GGGCCCGCACAAGCGGUGGAGCAUGUGGUUUAAUUCGAUGAUACGCGAGGAACCUUACCAGGGCUUAAAUGUAAGUUGCAUAGAUCAGAGAUGGUCUUUUCUUCGGACUACUUACAAGGUGCUGCAUGGUUGUCGUCAGCUCGUGCCGUGAGGUGUCAGGUUAAGUCCUAUAACGAGCGCAACCCCUGUCGUUAGUUACCAGCAAGUAAUGUUGGGUACUCUAGCGAGACUGCCGGUGCAAACCGUGAGGAAGGUGGGGAUGACGUCAAAUCAUCACGGCCCUUACGUCCUGGGCUACACACGUGCUACAAUGGCCGGUACAGAGAGCAGCCACUACGCGAGUAGGAGCUAAUCUUUAAAACCGAUCUCAGUUCGGAUCGCAGUCUGCAACUCGACUGCGUGAAGCUGGAAUCGCUAGUAAUCG